rnacentral:rRNA from 1 species
UACGGAGGGGGCUAGCGUUGUUCGGAAUUACUGGGCGUAAAGGGUGCGUAGGCGGUUCGUUAAGUCUGUCGUGAAAUCCCCGGGCUCAACCUGGGAAUGGCGAUGGAUACUGGCGAGCUAGAGUGUGUCAGAGGAUGGUGGAAUUCCCGGUGCAGCGGUGAAAUGCGUAGAGAUCGGGAGGAACAUCAGUGGCGAAGGCGGCCAUCUGGGACAACACUGACGCUGAAGCACGAAAGCGUGGGGAGCAAACAGG